CGUGUAGGCGGCUUAUCAAGUCGGUAGUGAAAACUAGGGGGCGUCAACCCGCCAGCUUGCUGUCGAAACUAGAUAGGCUUGAGUUUGGUUAGAGGAGUGUGGAAUUCCGAGUGUAGCGGUGGAAUGCGCAGAUAUUCGGAGGAACACCGGUGGCGAAGGCGGCACUCUGGGCCAUAACUGACGCUGAGACGCGAAAGCGUGGGUAGCAAACAGGAUUAGAUACCCUGUAGUCCACGCCGUAAACGAUGGGCACUAGGUGUGGGGAGGAUGACUCUCUCCGUGCCGCAGCUAACGCAUUAAGUGCCCCGCCUGGGGAGUACGCCGCAAGGCUAAA
rnacentral:rRNA from 1 species